ACUAAUUCUUCAAAGAAUGAAUGAUCAUCAUCAUCCUUAUAUUGGAAUAAAAGGAAGGAAGUGACAGCUACAGUCAUGGUAAAAGUAAAUGCAGUCAGAAGACCUCUGAUAUCACCCGAAGAGCCAGCCUUCUCAAGAUUCUGUAUCAAA
rnacentral:lncRNA from 1 species